rnacentral:rRNA from 1 species
GGGUAACCUGCCCAUCAGAAUGGGAUAACACUUGGAAACAGGUGCUAAUACCGUAUAACAAUCGAAACCGCAAGGUUUUGAUUUGAAAGGCGCUUUCGGGUGUCGCUGAUGGAUGGACCCGCGGUGCAUUAGCUAGUUGGUGAGGUAACGGCUCACCAAGGCCACGAUGCAUAGCCGACCUGAGAGGGUGAUCGGCCACAUUGGGACUGAGACACGGCCCAAACUCCUACGGGAGGCAGCAGUAGGGAAUCUUCGGCAAUGGACGAAAGUCUGACCGAGCAACGCCGCGUGAGUGAAGAAGGUUUUCGGAUCGUAAAACUCUGUUGUUAGAGAAGAACAAGGAUGAGAGUAACUGUUCAUCCCUUGACGGUAUCUAACCAGAAAGCCACGGCUAACUACGUGCCAGCAGCCGCGGUAAUACGUAGGUGGCAAGCGUUGUCCGGAUUUAUUGGGCGUAAAGCGAGCGCAGGCGGUUUCUUAAGUCUGAUGUGAAAGCCCCCGGCUCAACCGGGGAGGGUCAUUGGAAACUGGGAGACUUGAGUGCAGAAGAGGAGAGUGGAAUUCCAUGUGUAGCGGUGAAAUGCGUAGAUAUAUGGAGGAACACCAGUGGCGAAGGCGGCUCUCUGGUCUGUAACUGACGCUGAGGCUCGAAAGCGUGGGGAGCAAACAGGAUUAGAUACCCUGGUAGUCCACGCCGUAAACGAUGAGUGCUAAGUGUUGGAGGGUUUCCGCCCUUCAGUGCUGCAGCUAACGCAUUAAGCACUCCGCCUGGGGAGUACGACCGCAAGGUUGAAACUCAAAGGAAUUGACGGGGGCCCGCACAAGCGGUGGAGCAUGUGGUUUAAUUCGAAGCAACGCGAAGAACCUUACCAGGUCUUGACAUCCUUUGACCACUCUAGAGAUAGAGCUUCCCCUUCGGGGGCAAAGUGACAGGUGGUGCAUGGUUGUCGUCAGCUCGUGUCGUGAGAUGUUGGGUUAAGUCCCGCAACGAGCGCAACCCUUAUUGUUAGUUGCCAUCAUUCAGUUGGGCACUCUAGCAAGACUGCCGGUGACAAACCGGAGGAAGGUGGGGAUGACGUCAAAUCAUCAUGCCCCUUAUGACCUGGGCUACACACGUGCUACAAUGGGAAGUACAACGAGUUGCGAAGUCGCGAGGCUAAGCUAAUCUCUUAAAGCUUCUCUCAGUUCGGAUUGCAGGCUGCAACUCGCCCGUAUGAAGC